rnacentral:rRNA from 1 species
UAGGGGCGCAGCAGGCGCGAAACCUUUACAAUGCGGGCAACCGUGAUAAGGGAACCUCGAGUGCCUGUAAACGCAGGCUGUUCAGGUGUUUAAAACGCACCUGGAGAAAGGGCCGGGCAAGACCGGUGCCAGCCGCCGCGGUAAUACCGGCGGCUCGAGUGGUGGCCGCUUUUAUAGGGCUUAAAGCGUUCGUAGCUGGGUUGUUAAGUCUCUUGGGAAAUCUGGCGGCUUAACCGUCAGGCGUCUAAGGGAUACUGGCAAUCUUGGAACCGGGAGAGGUGAGGGGUACUUCGGGGGUAGGGGUGAAAUCCUGUAAUCCUCGAGGGACCACCUGUGGCGAAGGCGCCUCACCAGAACGGCUUCGACAGUGAGGGACGAAAGCUGGGGGAGCAAACCGGAUUAGAUACCCGGGUAGUCCCAGCCGUAAACGAUGCGCGUUAGGUGUAUCGGUGACCACGAGUUACCGAGGUGCCGAAGGGAAACCGUGAAACGCGCCGCCUGGGAAGUACGGUCGCAAGGCUGAAACUUAAAGGAAUUGGCGGGGGAGCAC